AAACAAGAAGCGAACAAUUUGCUAUCGGUUUCGACCCGAUCCUUGACUUUUCUGUCCUUGUUUU
rnacentral:tRNA from 1 species